rfam:Rattus norvegicus chromosome 3, whole genome shotgun sequence.
GGGGAUUUAGCUCAGUGGUAGAGCGCUUGCCUAGCAGGUGCAAGGCCCUGGGUUCGGUCCCCAGCUCCG